rnacentral:rRNA from 1 species
AGAGUUUGAUCCUGGCUCAGAUUGAACGCUGGCGGCAGGCCUAACACAUGCAAGUCGAGCGGUAGAGAGGAGCUUGCUCCUCUUGAGAGCGGCGGACGGGUGAGUAAUGCCUAGGAAUCUGCCUGGUAGUGGGGGAUAACGUUCGGAAACGGACGCUAAUACCGCAUACGUCCUACGGGAGAAAGCAGGGGACCUUCGGGCCUUGCGCUAUCAGAUGAGCCUAGGUCGGAUUAGCUAGUUGGUGAGGUAAUGGCUCACCAAGGCGACGAUCCGUAACUGGUCUGAGAGGAUGAUCAGUCACACUGGAACUGAGACACGGUCCAGACUCCUACGGGAGGCAGCAGUGGGGAAUAUUGGACAAUGGGCGAAAGCCUGAUCCAGCCAUGCCGCGUGUGUGAAGAAGGUCUUCGGAUUGUAAAGCACUUUAAGUUGGGAGGAAGGGCAGUAAAUUAAUACUUUGCUGUUUUGACGUUACCGACAGAAUAAGCACCGGCUAACUCUGUGCCAGCAGCCGCGGUAAUACAGAGGGUGCAAGCGUUAAUCGGAAUUACUGGGCGUAAAGCGCGCGUAGGUGGUUUGUUAAGUUGGAUGUGAAAUCCCCGGGCUCAACCUGGGAACUGCAUUCAAAACUGACUGACUAGAGUAUGGUAGAGGGUGGUGGAAUUUCCUGUGUAGCGGUGAAAUGCGUAGAUAUAGGAAGGAACACCAGUGGCGAAGGCGACCACCUGGACUAAUACUGACACUGACGUGCGAAAGCGUGGGGAGCAAACAGGAUUAGAUACCCUGGUAGUCCACGCCGUAAACGAUGUCAACUAGCCGUUGGAAGCCUUGAGCUUUUAGUGGCGCAGCUAACGCAUUAAGUUGACCGCCUGGGGAGUACGGCCGCAAGGUUAAAACUCAAAUGAAUUGACGGGGGCCCGCACAAGCGGUGGAGCAUGUGGUUUAAUUCGAAGCAACGCG